GGACAGAUGACGUGUGACAUGUCAUGAUUCCCUUUUAUUCCAGAAGUUUGGUCCUUAAGGGGUUAAACAGUAAUUGGAUAAAAACUUGCAAAAACAUAACAUACAGGGAUAGAAUUUCUAAUUAGUAGGGUAAUAGCUGCUAAGGAGAUAUCAGACUGCCAUUUUGGGAUCAAGAAGGAAUUUUUUCCUAGUUCGUUGCAAAAUUGGAAGCGCUUUCAGACUGGGUUUUUUGCCUUCUUUUGAAUCAAGAGCAAAAAC